CCAAGACUGGCCAAACAAAAUCUACAUGUCCUCAUGAGUGUUGGCUGGACUUGCUGUCAAACUCACAUCCAGUUUUCAUGCUUCGUAGAAAGGCUGCAAGAGCACAUACUAUUUUGAUAUUUUAAGGGUUAUGACAUAUUGAGGAGCAUGGACCGUGGAACAAUGCAAAACAGCGAUUUGUCCCUUGAGAAUUGUGACAUUGACAUUUUGGACAACGGAAGGACCAUUAAAGACGUCAUAGACAGUAAAAUAAAAGAGCUGGGCUUUGUGGACAAUGGUUCUAUGUGGCAGAUCUAGACAGCGUGUACAGAGGCACCUCGAUGGCUCACCAACUACUCUGAGUCAAGCCUUUCUAUGCGGUGAAGUGCAACAACAGCGGUAGUUUGAGGAUGAUGCGGCUCUGGACACAGGCUUGGACUGUUCAGCAAGGCCGAGAUCCAGAUGGCCCUGUCCCUCGGAGUGACACCCGAUAAAAUAAUUUUCGCACAUACAACCAAACCAAUGUCGCACAUCAAAUACGCCUGUGCUCAUGGAGUAGACGUGAUGACUUUUGAUAGUGAGGAUGAACUCCUGAAAAUGUCUCUCUGUCACCCCAAAGCCAAACUGGUACUCCGCAUCGCAGUGGAUGACUCCGAAUCGCUGAUACAACUCAGUUCCAAGUUCGGAGCCCAACUGGCGUCAGUCGGCAGCUGG